CUUAAUAAAGAUAAAAUUAUGUUAAAUUAUGAAUUUUUUUUCUUUCCAGAAAAUAAUUUAAACAAAGACAGUAUAUUUCAACAGUGAUAUUAUAACAAAAGGCUUCAGAAAUACAGAAGUGGGAAUCGGAUUAAUAUUCCCGAACCCGAACUCGGAGAGUGCCCGUCCAACGGCGGGAACGUGGCGUGCUCCUAGCAGCACAUCUGUCGUCGAAGCCGGCGGCCGGGCGAAGCAGCGGCAAAGCAAGCGAGCCAGGAGACGUUGCCGGGAGCCCCGGGAAGAGUUCUCUCUUCUUCGUAAAGAACCGCGUCCGUGGAAUCGGCUCGUUCGGAGAUACGGAUAUGGUGCCUGUAGAGCGCCGCGUCUCGGGCGGCGUCCGGUGCGCUCUCGACGGCCCUGGAAAAUCCGGGUCCGUAACUAAAGCCCUCUG
rnacentral:ncRNA from 1 species